rnacentral:tRNA from 1 species
ACCCUUGUCGGCACAAAUGAUUAAGCACUGGGCUACUAACUCAAAGGUUGGUGGUUCAAACCCACCCAGAGGUG